rnacentral:lncRNA from 1 species
GGCUUACUGUGUAGUUAUCUAAAUGCCGGCACGAAUAUAUAAGAUCAGGUCCACACUAUUUAAAAUGGAAGGAAUGGGAAAUUGAUUAAUUCUAUCUUUGAUGCUUUAGUUAAUUAACUUCUAACAGUGUGCAGAUUACUUGUAGAAUCCAUUCUUGUCCUUGAUACUUGCUCUUAGUUUCUGAUCUUCUUUUUCUAAUUUUCAACUGCCUACUAAAUACAAAACAGCUGAGAGGUUUUGUUAAAUGCCACGGGAAGUAGAUCAGAGUUGGGUAAAGAGGACUUAAAAGAUCUGGUGAUUGUUGAAUCUAGGUUAUGGAUACAUAGAAUGAAAUUCUAUGUGUGUAUAUGUUUAAUUUUUCACAAUUAAAAGUUUCUUGAAGAAACUUAAUAAGAAGAA